rnacentral:rRNA from 1 species
GACGAACCGUGCGAACGUUGUUCGGAUUCACUGGGCUUAAAGGGCGCGUAGGCGGGUGUCCAAGUCUGGGGUGAAAUCCUCCAGCUCAACUGGAGAAUGGCCUCGGAUACUGAUGGUCUCGAGGAGGAUAGGGGCACACGGAACUGUGGGUGGAGCGGUGAAAUGCGUUGAUAUCCACAGGAACUCCGGUGGCGAAAGCGGUGUGCUGGAUCCUUUCUGACGCUGAUGCGCGAAAGCCAGGGGAGCAAACGGG